AUGGCGCAGCUGACGUUCGACGCCGCGUGAGCGAUGAAGGCCAUUAGGUUGUAAAGCUCUGUCGAGGGGGAACAAGCCGCAAGGUUGAGUGAUCCCUAGGAGGAAGCACGGGCUAAGUUCGUGCCAGCAGCCGCGGUAAGACGAACCGUGCGAACGUUGUUCGGAAUCAUUGGGCUUAAAGGGCGCGUAGGCGGGUUGACAAGUCCGGGGUGAAAGCCUCCAGCUCAACUGGAGAAGAGCCCCGGAUACUGUCAGUCUGGAGAGGGAUAGGGGCACAUGGAACUUCCGGUGGAGCGGUGAAAUGCGUAGAGAUCGGAAGGAACGCCGGUGGCGAAAGCGAUGUGCUGGAUCUUUUCUGACGCUGAGGCGCGAAAGCUAGGGGAGCAAACGGGAUUAGAUACCCCGGUAGUCCUAGCCCUAAACGAUGGGUACUGGGUUGCGGGUCAGACAUAGACUCGCAGCCGGAGCAAAAGUGUUAAGUACCCCGCCUGGGGAGUAUGGUCGCAAGGCUGAAACUCAAAGGAAUUGACGGGGGCUCACACAAGCGGUGGAGCAUGUGGCUUAAUUCGAGGCUACGCGAAGAACCUUAUCCUAGACUUGACAUGGUGGAAGUAGCGAGGCGGAAACGUUUUGCGGCCGGUUCCAAUCCGGAGACCUC
rnacentral:rRNA from 1 species